GACAGAGGGUGCAAACGUUGCUCGGAAUCACUGGGCGUAAAGGGCGUGUAGGCGGGAAGGAAAGUCAGAUGUGAAAUCCCUGGGCUCAACCCAGGAACUGCAUUUGAAACUCCCUUUCUUGAGUACCGGAGAGGAAAGUGGAAUUCCUGGUGUAGAGGUGAAAUUCGUAGAUAUUCGCAAGAACACCAGUGGCGAAGGCGGCUCACUGGCCCGAUACUGACGCUGAUGCACGAAAGCGUGGGGAGCAAACAGG
rnacentral:rRNA from 1 species